rnacentral:rRNA from 1 species
CUGCGCGUGCUACCUGCAAGUUGAACGCGAAAGCUUUCUUCGGAAAGCGAGUAGAGUAGCAGACGGGUGAGUAAUGCAUAGGUAAUCUACCCUUGAGUGGGGGACAACUCGUCGAAAGAUGGGCUAAUCCCGCAUAAUAUUUCGAUUUAUAAAGGUUGAAAUCAAAGGGGGGGAUCCUUCGGGACCUCUCGCUUGAGGAUGAGCUUAUGUCCUAUUAGUUUGUUGGUAGGGUAAUGGCCUACCAAGACAAUGAUGGGUAGCCGGACUGAGAGGUCGAUCGGCCACACUGGAACUGAUACACGGUCCAGACUCCUACGGGAGGCAGCAGUGGGGAAUUUUGCGCAAUGGGCGAAAGCCUGACGCAGCGACGCCGCGUGAGGGAUGAAGGUCCUCGUGAUCGUAAACCUCUGUCAGGAAGGAUUAAAUGUAUGGUUGUUAAUACCGAUCAUGCUUGACUUAACUUCCAGAGGAAGCCCCGGCUAACUACGUGCCAGCAGCCGCGGUAAUACGUAGGGGGCAAGCGUUACUCGGAUUUAUUGGGCGUAAAGCGAAUGUAGGCGGUUUUGCAAGUCAGAGGUGAAAUCCCUCAGCUUAACUGAGGAAGUGCCUUUGAAACUGCAUAACUUGAGGACAGGAGAGGAAAGUGGAAUUCCCGGUGUAGCGGUGGAAUGCGUAGAUAUCGGGAGGAACACCAGAGGCGAAGGCGGCUUUCUGGACUGAUCCUGACGCUGAGAUUCGAAAGCUAGGGGAGCAACAGGAUUAGAUACCCUGGUAGUCCUAGCCGUAAACGAUGGAUACUAGAUCUUGCAUUUUUUGCUUG